GCAGGUUAAUACUGGCAGUCUCACCAUGCCAGCUGACUGUAUUUCAUCAUCAGCCAGUGUUGUUCUUUAUCAAUAUUACCAAAGUUUACCAUAAGGCAGCAUAGAAAGUAUUUACUUGCUUUCAGGUUUUAUUCAAAUGUUAGUCUUUUCAGUUGUUUCCCCACUUUUUUCGUGUUUCAAAAUCAAACACCAGUUUGUGAGAAGAUUACCUUCUUUUUUUAAUAGGCAGAUAAAGUUUUACAUUGGAAUUGGCUAAUUUGUCAAUUGUUUGUUAAAAAUGUUCGUAUUUUAAUAUUCAAAAAUGUUUUUGCCCAAAACAUAUGUGCACUAUAUGUCAGUAAAAAUACUAUGCAAAUAUUGCUGUCCUUGAAUGCUGAGUAAACACUGACAAAGCACUGAUUGUAUCUCUUGUACUUUAUCAACACAGUAUCUAAAAACUUUGCACCGUAGUGGUUAAAAUCUCAUUCUAAUAAGAGUUAAAAGCGCAUUCGGUUAUUAGGUUUAUAGAGUUAUUGAAUUAUGGUCAACGGUUGGUAGAAUUUUUUUUAAACAUUAUCUGCCAAUUACAUCUGCCACCCUUCUCCAAAUCUGUGCCCCUACCUGGCCCCCCCAACAAAAAUUUUCUAGACACGCCACUGCAAAUAUCUGUCCGCGUCAGGUCCCAAACGAACACUGUGUAAAUUCUUUCACCUUUUUUUUUUUUUUUUUUGCUUGUCCCAUUUGGUUCUUUAGCCGUCAGAAUUGUUGUCUGAAGGCCAACAAGGAUACCCAAUGGAUUUACCUUACCAAGUGGAUCAUCACGGCCUUGCCGUAUUGGUCCAUUUGAUCGACCUUUGUUGUUAUUAUUUAUUUUAUUUUGUUUUCAGUUGUUACAGACGGGACAGAGGGGGAAGAGGGACAAUGAGAAAAGAAGCAAAGUCUGGAACCAUUUCAAUCUUAUUGACAAAACAAAGGCAGAGUGUAAGAAAAGGAUAUCAUAUAGGGCUCCACAAACAACAUGCACAGGCACCUGAGAACUGUCCACCCAUCAGUGCAAUGGGAAGAUAAAACGCAGUCAGUUGAGUGUGAUAUUAACAUUUCUAGAUGCCAACUUUUCCCUUAAUUAAAGGUCUGGGCGUCCCCCCCCCAUAUUUUAAUUUAUAUUUUAUUGUGUUGUGGUUUGCAGUGUUUUGUGUUGUUUCACUUUAAUUUGUUUAAAAGGAAAAAGCUGAAAAUUUAAGUACUUAAAAGUUGAAAUGUAAAUAGUUGGUUUUUGUAUUUUAUAAUUUAUUUAUUACAUUUUAUGUGGAGUGAAUAAACAAAAGUAUAUUUACAUGUUUUGUUUUUGGUUACUGAUUAAAGGUGUUGGCCUCCAAAUCUGCUGCUUACCAAUUUAAAUGCGAUGAUGAUAACAGCAUUUUUUUUCUCAUUAAAUUCCUUGAAUUUCCUCUAAUAGUGACUGACCUUUUUUUUUUUUUAGCUCAAGUGCUGAAAUAACUGGCCUUUUGUGAAUCCUUCAAUUUAAAAAAUUGCUUUGUUGUUUUAGUGCUUUUGAGCCACUCCUGUGUCCUGUUAAAGUUACCUCAAUACGCUGCAAACUCAGUGUGGUGAGAAGAACAACACACAAGGGUGGUGAUAGAGAGCUGAAAUGAGUACCAAUCAGCAAAAUGGCAUUCAGGUUGGUUAUACUUAAUAGACUGAAAUGUGGUUCAAAUCAUUAAAAAGCUGGUUUAUUAAUAUGUAUUAACCCAAGAAGUUGCCACAGAACAUCAUCUGCCUCCAUUUCACCCACCUCCUUCUUCCACAUUAACCUUCUGCAUGUCCUCCUUCACUACAUCGAUGAAUCUUCUCUGUGGUCUUUCCAUUUUCAUCCCACCUGGGAGCUCCAAUUUUAACAUCUUUUGUUCAGUGCAUCAUCUGUCCUUUGUCUGUACAGGUCCUGAUCAUUACACUCGAGCUGUACUGAGCUGAUGUACUAAUUUCUAGUUGUGUCUCUCCAGGCCACUCCCAGCAAACUUG
ensembl:lncRNA